CGACCCCAGGUCAGGCGGGGCCACCCGCUGAGUUUAAGC
rnacentral:rRNA from 1 species